UACGUAGGGUGCGAGCGUUGUUCGGAAUUACUGGGCGUAAAGGGCUGGUAGGCGGCCAACUAAGUCGGAUGUGAAAUCCCCAGGCUCAACCUGGGAACUGCGUCCGAUACUGGAUGGCUUGAAUCCGGGAGAGGGAUGCAGAAUUCCAGGUGUAGCGGUGAAAUGCGUAGAUAUCUGGAGGAAUACCGGUGGCGAAGGCGGCAUCCUGGACCGGCAUUGACGCUGAGGAGCGAAAGCCAGGGGAGCAAACGGG
rnacentral:rRNA from 1 species